UACGUAGGUGGCAAGCGUUAUCCGGAAUUAUUGGGCGUAAAGCGCGCGCAGGCGGUUUCUUAAGUCUGAUGUGAAAGCCCACGGCUCAACCGUGGAGGGUCAUUGGAAACUGGGGAACUUGAGUGCAGAAGAGAAAAGCGGAAUUCCACGUGUAGCGGCGAAAUGCGUAGAGAUGUAGAGGAACACCAGUGGCGAAGGCGGCUUUUUGGUCUGUAACUGACGCUGAGGCGCGAAAGCGUGGGGAGCAAACAGG
rnacentral:rRNA from 1 species